rnacentral:rRNA from 1 species
AUUGAACGCUGGCGGCAUGCCUUACACAUGCAAGUCGAACGGCAGCACGGACUUCGGUCUGGUGGCGAGUGGCGAACGGGUGAGUAAUAUAUCGGAACAUACCUUGUAGUGGGGGAUAACUAUCCGAAAGGAUAGCUAAUACCGCAUACGCUCUAAAGAGGAAAGCGGGGGAUCGUAAGACCUCGUGCUAUAAGAGUGGCCGAUAUCUGAUUAGCUAGUUGGUGAGGUAAAGGCUCACCAAGGCGACGAUCAGUAGCUGGUCUGAGAGGACGACCAGCCACACUGGAACUGCGACACGGUCCAGACUCCUACGGGAGGCAGCAGUGGGGAAUUUUGGACAAUGGGCGCAAGCCUGAUUCAGCCAUGCCGCGUGCAGGAUGAAGGCCUUCGGGUUGUAAACUGCUUUUGUACGGAACGAAAAGACUCUGGUUAAUACCUGGGGUCCAUGACGGUACCGUAAGAAUAAGCACCGGCUAACUACGUGCCAGCCGCCGCCGUAAUAC